GGCAACAUGGCCGAGUGGUUAAGGCGCCAGAAUCAGGAGAUUGCAUGUUCUUAUCUGGUCCGAAAGGGCGUGGGUUCGAGUCCCACUGUUGUCA